GGCCAGUGCUCAAGGCAGGGGUGCCACCUCGGGGCCUUGCUGCACCCUCACAGCCAAAUGGGCUGGUCCCAUCUGCACUGGCUUUUGGGGUCCCUGAGUGGUCCGGCAUCCCAGCAUGACCCAGCAGCCCAGUGCUGUGUGCCUUCCCCAGGCCUCUGUCUCGUCUGAGGGGGGCUGACGCUUGAGUGCUUGUUGUUUUUGUUUCUGAAAACCCAGCAGGUCUGAAAGGUGGCCAGUGGAGCUUCCGCUCCUCAGCAGCCAUCCAGCCAGCCCAUCAACCUUCUCUGGAAAGUAGAGAGCCCCGGCCACCUCACGGGGGCUGUGCUCAGAGCCAUGGCCCCUGCUGUCCCACAGGCUCCCCCAGCGUGGCUGCCCUUGGGGGUGGGGUCCCUGGGCAGCCUCUUCUCCCCCGCCCCUCCAACUCUCAGCCCCCAGUCAGCUUGCUGAGGACCCACCCAGGGAGUGGCCUGGCCCAGCCCAGACCUGGAAGCUGAGGCUGCGUGGAGCCCUGAGAGCUGCCAGGAACAGCCCUACCAGGAAGGAGAAUGGGGCCAGGACCUCGGCGGAGCCCGCAGCGGCACAGCUCUACUGCUGCUCCCUGGGAGUCUGCCGGGGCCGGGCUCCCUUGUGUGUAGGCCGGAACGACGGCCCAGCAGACCCCGCCCGUAGAGCUCCAAGGGACAGGACUGCCGUCCAGGACCAGCACCGAGGAGAGGCACAGGGGCUCAGAGUCACACAGCAGGCCCCACCUGUUCAUCAGUGGGCACAGCUGGGGCCCAAGGGACAGCGAGGGACCCACAUGUCACUCCCUUUAACAUCCAAAGAAGCCAGGUGUGGCUGACCCACACCUGAAAUCCCAGCGCUGGGGUGGCUAGGCAGGAGAAUUGUCAUGAGUUCAAAGUGAGCGUGGACUACAUAGCAAAACCCUGCCUCCAAAUAAAUAAUGAAAAUAAACUCUAAAGGAGAAAUGAACUUAAAAAUAUUGGACACAAAUGAUACAUAAUAGGUAUUGACCUGUAGGUAUAAUGAGUGCACAGUAUUAAUUUACGGUAUGCUGUUAGGUGUUAUGUGAUGAACAUAAUGAGACUUUAUUACACGAUAUAUAGUGGACGCGUCUUAUGUUGUGUGUCUGAUGUUUGUGAGGGGGGCUGGACAACUGGAGAUUGAGCUUAGGGCCUUUGCACUAAGCUAGAUCCCUAGCCCUUUUUUUGCGGUAGGUUCUGGCUAAGUUGCCCAGGCUGGGCUUGAACCUGGCCAUCCGAGUGCUGGAUAAGAGGCGUGUGCCAUCACGCCUGAUUUGUCUUCGAGCUACUCCAGUCAAACCUGCUGGGUUCAUGGAGGAAGGGCUCCGGGAAGGCCAGGUGCCCGCCCCCGGGGAGGGCAUGCUGGGCACCGCCCCCGGAGGGUGAGGGGCUCCUUCCGUUCCGGGCCUUCUCGGACCUGCUUCGCCCUGUGGAGCCACCGUCCGGGCAGCCCAGACUCGCCACCACCUGUCUCCCCCGCAGUCGGCGCGUUUUCCAGCAGCGCCACCGCGUGGCAGCAGGAGGAAGUGCUGGCUGAGAGCUGUGAUCACCACGCUCCGCCUACCCCAGUCAGCGCCCUGUCCGGGGGAAGGGGGUGGAGCCUGGGUCCCAGGACAAGGCUGGGGCGGCCAGAGUGACCAAGGGGUGUCUGUCCUCCAUCUGCCCUGCACUCGCCGACCCCUGCCCUGGGCUCUGUGCCCAACACAGCAACAGGACAGGAUUGCCGGCUCAGAGAGAGGACUAAACCCAGGGAACAGGCUUGGCUCGCGCGCACACACACCCUGUGUCCUGCCACACACAAGCCUGUGAGAGGAGCCAGAGGGAGCUGCCCCAUCCAGGCAACCCACACGGGGACGGACAAGCCUAGGAAGUGGCUGGUGUGGCUGAGCCUCGCGACCAUGGAGGUGACAGGCUGGGAGGGGACAGGA
ensembl:lncRNA